rnacentral:lncRNA from 1 species
CACGGCUUUUCCGUUCAAUCCAUUUCACUUAUUUUAUUCUACGCGUUCUCUCUAAACAACGCAGGUGUCACGCCCUGACCUGAGAGAGACUUUUCUAUGUCUCUAUUUAGGUUUGGUCAGGGUGUGAUUUGGGUGGGCAUUCUAUGUCCGUUUUUCUAUGUGUUUGCAUUUCUUUGUUUUGGCCGGGUGUGGUUCUCAAUCAGGGACAGCUGUCUAUCGUUGUCUCUGAUUGGGAGCCAUACUUAGGCAGCCUGUUUUUCCCGUUGGGGUUUGUGGGUAGUUAUUUUCCUGUUUAGUUCUUGAUAACCUGAGAGAACUGUUGCUAGUUGUUUUUUUUUGUUUAAGUGAUCAUUCUUUCUAUUAAAAGUCAAGAUGAAAACAUUCUCCGCUGAACCUUGGUCCCAUCCUUUCAACGGCUGGUACAGCAGGAGAACGUUACGUAACGAUAUUCUCCACGUUCUCUCUAAACAACACAGGAGAAGGUUACGUAACGAUAUUCUCCACGUUCUCUCUAAACAACACAGGAGAAGGUUACGUAACGAUAUUCUCCACGUUCUCUCUAAACAACACAGGAGAAGGUUACGUAACGAUAUUCUCCACGUUCUCUCUAAACAACACAGGAGAAGGUUACGUAACGAUAUUCUCCACGUUCUCUCUAAACAACACAGGAGAAGGUUACGUAACGAUAUUCUCCACGUUCUCUCUUUCAUGAUUCCUCCGUCUGCACGUUAGAACAAGACGUAUGUAAGCAGAUUCCUCUCAUCGGAGAAACAUUUUGGUUUUCAUUCUUUUUUCUUUUAUCUCUCUAGAGAUGCUUUCCAAAUGAAAUCCUGGGCCCUGGUUUAAAAGUAUUGCAUUGAAUUAGACAUAGGGUUCCAUUUGGGAAACGUCCUAGGAUAUUUUCUCAGUUGACUGGACUGAAAGCAGAGUACACAGUCAGGACAUUUCACUUUACCGUACUAAAUAUGGGAGUUAUACAGGCUCUUUGAAGAUUCAAACAGACCUUAAAUUAUUGUUAUUCUAGCCGAAUCAUAAUGAUGAGUUUUUAAUACAAUAGUAUGUCAAGUGUCUUGUUCCUCAGCGCUCCUCCCCAGUCUGCCGACUCGUAUGAAGGAUUUUGAACCCAGAAACCACAGAAUCAAAAGAUGCUU